UGUUUUAUGUUGUUUUUGUUGCACCGUGCUGCAGGAUUUAUUUUUAUUUGACUUCAUUUUUCUAUAUAUUUCACAGAGCAGACACCAGAGUCCUGAAGAAUUCAUUUCCUGAUUUAAAUAAAAAAGCGUUUCUUUUUUUCACCACAUGGCAGCGUUUAGACGUCAUGGAGGAGAUUACUGAAAUCCCUCCUCCCUGCAGCAUCCCUCCUCCUCCUCCUCCUCCUCCUCCUCCUCCUCUUCCUCUUCUUUUUAAACCGGCAGCGAGGCGGACCGACUGUUUGUCAGCGGCAGGAAUCCUCUUCUCCUCCUCCAUCUUCCAGCUGGACCGCCGCUGCUUUUGGCGCCAUUUUCUCCUGUUUUUCUGUCCCGGAUCUGUUCGUCUUUAAACCUCCAGAAGAGCAGCUGCAGGAUUAAACCUGACAAAAAGCUGCUUCUGUUCUCCACGUGGCUUUGAUGGAGCCGCCGAGCUUCCCGUCCCGUUAAAGGAGAAGAAGAAGAAGAGGAAACAUGCUGUGGUCUCCAAGACUGUCGCUGUCCAACUUCCACGUGAAGCUGACGGCCAAAGGGCUCUUCAGGAACCUGCAGCUGCUGCCGGGAUGCAGGAAGAACACGGUGGUGUUCCACGCAGGUCUGGAUGUUUGUCCUCCAUCCGUCCGUCCGUCCAUGAAUCCAUGAAUCCAUCCUCAGAUCCACGCUGAGCCGGCUGAGCUGAAGCCACACCCAGACCUUCAUUCUCCUCCGUUUGUUGAGGAAAAAGUCUGAGAAGCUUCAGAAAACCAGCCGAGCCUCGUGCAUCUGCAGCCUCAGAACAUCUCUGACCUUCUGGAGGAGCUUCAGGAGGAACCAGAGAAGGAACCAUCUGGACUCUUCUGGUUCAUCUGAAGCUCCUCUGAUGAUCUGAGAAUCUGAUUUUCUCUCUUUUUUCCUCCAUCUUCCCUCCGACUGUUUUUAAUCUUUGAAUCAGAGGCGGCUUCACCCUCCUCCUCCUCCUCCUCUGUUUCCACGGCGAUGGCAGCCAUUGUUCCCUCCUCCUCCUCCUCCUCCUCCUCCUCCUCUGUUUCCACGGCGAUGCUACAAUGGAGCCGCUGUGAAUCGAGCUUCGUGCACGUGGAGGUUUUUUUUUAUUCUGCUGCGGUGAUGAAUCGCCGCUUUUAGCCCGAAAACCCCGAAGGGACGAAACCACGUGACGGCCAGAGACAACCAGGGACAGAAAAACAACAACAACAAAUAAAUAAAUAGUAAAUAAAUAGAUAAAUGUCAGAAAAAAAAGACAAAAACGGGACAAAAAUAGAAAUACAACAAAUAUCUGUAUUUUUAAAAUUAAUUGUUAAUCAGCAAAGAAAUACAUUAAUAAAAAAUAAUACAUGUCCACCGUAAAAAAUGAAAUAAAUAAAAAUAAAUGAAUAAAUAAAAAUAGGAAAUAAUGGAAAUAAUGUCCGCAACAAAAAUUAGUUUUUUUUAAAUUAGUUGUUAAUCGGCAAAAAAAAAUUGUGUACAUAUGGAUUAAACACAAGCAGAUAAACAAAAACAAAUACAUAAAAAGAUAAAAAAUGGAAUUAAUGUCAAUAACCAAAUAAAAAUAUUUUUUAUAAAUAAGUCUUCAGUCGGCAAAAAAAGAAAAAAGAAAAAUAAUUAUACGUGUCGACUAAAAAUAGCAGAAUAAAUUAAAAAAAGAGGACAAACAGAAAUAAUGUCAAAAAUCAGCAUUUACUCAAUUUCACUGUUAAUCAGCAGCAAAAUAAAUAAACAACAAAUAAAUAAUAAUAAAAUAAAAACCAAAAUAUAAUAUAAUAAAAUAUAAUAAUAGUAUUUUAUAUAUAUUCUCUUAAAUAUCUUGUACAAUAAUAUUCAUAAAUAAAAUUAAUUAACAGACGUUUGUCAUUAUUUUUUUUUAAAAUGUUAUUUUGUUAAAUAAAUAUAUCUAACAAAACCACAGAAAAAAAAAUAAAGGGCCAAAAUUGUCCACAUAAUAAAUCUCCUUUUAAAAAAAUAUAGACUAUAUGUAAUUAUUUUACAGUGUAGAAUGUAAAAAAAAAUGAAAAAUUGUACAAAAAGUACAGUAAAAUAAUGUCAAUAUUUUAUUGGGAAAAAUACAUUUUAUAUUAGUAAAAAUAAACAAUAAUAAAUCUAAAUGCUCCUGUCAGCUGCAGAUUAAAUCCGUGUUUGGAUGUUUUUGUUUCCUUCUGUGCUGAAUUAAAGCUGCUUUAGAGAUUUUUAAAACGACUUUUCUAAACCAGAUUAAACGAAAGUUAAUCAGAAAAUCUUCACCAGAAUCAGCUUCGACUCGUUUCCUUUCUUUGUCUCUGUUGCACAAAAGGAGACAGAAUUUUUUCACAGAAUCUGAUGAGAACAAACUUUAGGUUUUAUUUUUAGUGAUUUUUUUGGUAAUUUUGUUUUUUUGUUAUUUUGCUCAAAGAUUAAACUUUUGCCUCAAACUUCAGUGUGAAAAUAAAAACCAGCUGAAAGUGGGUCAGCAGUUCUCAAAAACUUAAUAUCUUGGGAAUUAUUUUAUAUUUUAAUCUGAAAUUUCACAAAUAUCUUCAUAAACAUCCACAUGUUAUGCUGUAAAAAUCUCAGGCUAAUCACAGGAAGUCGAGCAGAAUUUAUUCUGAAAAUAUGAAGAAAAAAACAAACAAAAAAUUAAAAACAGCCUGUAGUGUAGUUGAAACUCAGAUUUUUCGUCAUGUGACCGUUGCUCUCAGAUGAGUCAGUCUGGAUUUCUUUAUUGCACAAAAAUGUUCAGAAUUUUUUGUCUUUUACAGAAUCUCCUUAAACCAAAUUAUACAUUUUUGGUGAUUUUUUAAAGAAUAUUACGUAGAAUAGAGUGACUGCUGAUUUGUCCUGAUUUCAGCUCAGAUUUGGUUCAUUUUUCUGCUUCAUCAUCGGGUCACGGACGAGGAUUUUACCAUCUGAUUUGGUUUCCUCAGAUUUAAUCUCUUUGAUUCCUUUUUUUCUUCUUGGUUUAUUCUCUUUCAUUCCUCCUUUUUCUUCUUGAUUUAAUCUGCGAUCCGUCAAACGUCACGUGAACUCGGUUCCUCCAUCUGAGCGCCGCUGCACGUGUCCACAGCUCCACAGACCCACUUUCUGCUGUGAAUGUAGGUUACAGCGGGCUUUAGUCAGCGCAUGUGCACGCCCACACACACUCACGGUGCACGGGGGCUCGUGCACGCCCGCAGUGGUUCAGCUGAGGCCGUCCAGCGGUGCAGCUCUAAUCGGAUGUGAAGCUUCAGCAGCUCAUCUGUUCUCGCCCAUGGAAAGUAGUUUAGUAGGAAAAGAGGAACGAAAAUGACAAAUACAAGGUGAGAAAAAAGAAAACUGUGCAAAAAAAUAAAAAUAGGACGAGGAGGAAACAGAAAAUGAAGAAAAAGGUGAAGAGAAAUGGAUGAAGAGCAGCAGAAAGUCAAGAAGAGCAUGGAGGAAAAUGAAGAAACACAUGCAAGAAAAAUGACAAAGAAAAUGUAGAAAAUAAAUAAAAAUGCAUUGAAAAAUAAUAAUAAAUGCAAAGAAAUUAAUAAAGAAGCAGCCGAAAAUUAAUAAAUAAUAUGCAAAACAAGAAGAUUAAGAAAAAAACAAAAAAUGCAAUAAAAGGACUAAAAUUCAGCAAAAAUAAAUUAAAAAUAUACAGAAAAAAAUAUUAAAGAGAGAGCAGAAAAUGAAGAAAUAGAUGCAAAGAAUAAAAUCCAGAAACAGUAGAAAAUUAAUUUAAAAAUAUUCAGAAAAAUAAGAUUAAGCGGAAGCAGAAAAUGAAGAAAAGUAUGCUAAAAAAGCAAAAAGGCAUCGGAAAAUUAAUAAAUAUACACUGAAAAAAUAAUGAAGAGCAGAAAAUGAAGAAAACAAGGCAGUAAAAUAACUAAGAAAUAAAAUAACUAAAAAAAACUUAAACUAAAACUAAAAUAACCUUAAAAAAAUAUAGAAAAAUAUGCAAAAAAAAUAAAAAUAAGAUAAGGAAGAAACAGAAAAUUAAGAAAAAUUAUGCAAAAAGUUGGCAGAAAAAUAAAAAUACAGAAAAAUAAUCAAGAGAGAAGAGAAAAUUAAACAAAAAGACAGCAACAAAACAACGAAAAAUGUGCAAAAAUAAGAUGCUAAAAUGAGAUGAAGAGGAAAAUUAAGAAAAAUAAUGCAAAUAAAAAUCAGACACAAAGGCAGCAAAAAUUAAAUAAAAUUAAAAAUCUAUAAAAAAUAAAGACAGAGCACAGAAAACAAAAACAGAUGCAAAAAUAAAAUAAAGAGACAGCAGAGAAUUAAUAAAAUAAUAUGCAGAAAAGUAAGAUUAAGAGGAAAACGAACUGAAGAAGAUGACAAAAAAAUAAAAAAUAUGAUCAUAAAUAAUAUAAUAUGCACACCUAAAAAUAGGAAAAAUUAUACGAAAAAAUACAAAAGGCAGCAGAAAAUAAAUAAAAAUAUGCAGACAAAAACAAUGAAGAGAUAUCAGAAAAAUAAAUUAAAAACAAAGUAAUGAAUAAUAAUUGAGCAUCCAGUCAGUUGGUUUAGACGAGUUCAGAUCUGCAGAAAAUCACCGUCAGUCGUUGUUUGAGCUCCUCUUUAAAGAGCAGAUGAUUAUUCUCAGUCUUUAUUUUGGGCUUUUUGACUCGUCAUGAACUGAACUGAAGGUCGACUCGUUUGUCUGACCUCAGAGCUGCUGACCCAGGAACUAAAAACACAUUUUAAUGAGUAUUUUAGACAAUAUUUUCAACACAUUUCUUCCACCUGAAGGCAGAAUGUAAAUAUUAUAAUUCCUGCUUUCACAUAUUAGUUUUUAUUUAAUAUUUUCAGACCAAACAGCCUCUAAAUAAUCCCCUCUGGAGGCUGCAGAUGUUUGACUUCAUUUCGUUUCCUGCAGUUGAGCUGAAAACUCUCUGAUUUUUAAUAAAGCGACUGUUGGUUCCAGCUGAAUGGUUUCUGGUUUUUCUGCUUCACAGAGGAACCCAGAAUUUUUAGUUUUCACAGAAUUUAGUGACAAUAAACUUUAUGUUUUUUUUUAAAGUUUAUGGUUAAAUUAUUUGUUAUUAAGCUCAAAGACGGAACUUUUCAUUGAGACGUUGUUAUUAGUUGUUUUUUCAUAUUUCAGAGACUAUUUGAUCUAUUUGUCUAACAUUUCAGAUUCUGGAUCAGUGGCAUGAUGAGAAAUAGGAGCGAAAAUUUCAGAUUUUUAUCUUGAAUAUUUCCUCAGUUAUUUUUGAUCAAACAGACUCAGUUUAACAUGAGGAAAGACCUACAGAAAGUGGGUCGACAGGCAGAUUGAAACAUCUUUAUCUUAAAAAAUAUUUAAUAUUUCAGGCUAAAAAUGAUCAAAUAUUAAGUAUUAGAUUCAUAUAGUCUUCAUUUUCUACCAGAAACAACAUGAACAACAUUUUUUUAGUUGACUAAAUCAUGUUUGUGCAUAUUUUCCCCGUAUUUAAAUCCAGUUUGUGCAGAAACGACAGAGGAUUCAUGGUUUGUUGCUAGGUAACCGGAUGUUCUGGUGUGCAUGUAUCGGGGUCAGAUAGUGGACACCUAGUGGCACACUAGUUUCCGUGGUAACAGCCGUGUGCGUGGGAUCUGCAGAGAGCAGAGUCCUGAAUGUUUCUGCUGUAAAUGAGUCCAUCUCCACUUAUUCUGGACAUAUUUUGAGCAGUUAAUGGAGGAAUCUGAGGACCUUUACACCAUUAUUUCAUCACUUUGGACAGAUUUUGUGUUAUUUUGAACAAUAUAUGAACCAUUUUGGACAACCUUUGAAUGUUUCUGACCAUUUUUGAGAAUUCCAAACACAUUUUGAGCAGCUUAGGACAAAUUUUGAGUGAUUUUAGACAAGUUUUGGACAAUUUAUUUUAAUCUUUUUGAAAAUUAGAGAUCUCGAUGUUCACAGAGGUCUAGGUGUUCAUAGAGGUCUAGAUGUUCAUAGAGGUCCAGAUGUUCACAGAGGUCUUGAUGCUCAUAGAGGUCUAGGUGUUCACAGAGGUCUAGGUGUUCACAGAGGUCUAGGUGUUCACAGGGGUCUAGAUGCUCAUAGAGGUCUAGGUGUUCACAGAGGUCUAGAUGCUCAUAGAGGUCUAGGUGUUCAUAGAGGUCUAGAUGUUCAUAGAGGUCUAGGUGUUCAUAGAGGUCUAGGUGUUCACAGAGGUCUAGAUGUUCACAGAGGUCUAGAUGUUCAUAGAGGUGUAGAUGUUCAUAGAGGUGUAGGUGUUCAUAGAGGUCUAGGUGUUCACAGAGGUCUAGAUGUUCAUAGAGGUCUAGAUGUUCAUAGAGGUCUAGAUGUUCACAGAGGUCUAGAUGUUCACAGAGGUCUAGGUGUUCAUAGAGGUCUAGAUGUUCACAGAGGUCUAGAUGUUCACAGAGGUCUAGAUGUUCACAGAGGUCUAGAUGUUCACAGAGGUCUAGAUGUUCAUAGAGGUGUAGAUGUUCAUAGAGGUGUAGGUGUUCAUAGAGGUCUAGGUGUUCAUAGAGGUGUAGGUGUUCACAGAGGUCUAGAUGUUCAUAGAGGUCUAGGUGUUCACAGAG